rnacentral:rRNA from 1 species
CAUGCCGUAAACGAUGAGUGCUAAGUGUUAGGGGGUUUCCGCCCCUUAGUGCUGCAGCUAACGCAUUAAGCACUCCGCCUGGGGAGUACGACCGCAAGGUUGAAACUCAAAGGAAUUGACGGGGGCCCGCACAAGCGGUGGAGCAUGUGGUUUAAUUCGAAGCAACGCGAAGAACCGUACCAGGUCUUGACAUCCCAGUGACCGCUCUAGAGAUAGAGUUUUCCCUUCGGGGACAGUGGUGACAGGUGG